GUCAUGCCACACGUCAUGCCACACCCCAUGCCACACCACAUGCCACACGUCAUGCUGCACGUCAUGCCACACGUCAUGCCACACGUCAUGCCACACAUCAUGCCACAUGUAAUGCCACACCCCAUGCCACACAUAAUGCCACACCACAUGCCACACAACAUGCCACACAACAUGCUACACAACAUGCCACACAACAUGCCACACGUCAUGCCUCACAACAUGCCACACAGCAUGCCGCACGUCAUGCCUCACAACAUGCCACACAACAUGACAUAUAGAACCCUCCUCCAGCAGGCUGUGGUCCAUCUGUGGUAGCCCACUGACUCCACUCUCAAAAAAAACAAGUAGGUCAUUUUGUUAAUGACCUGGGGGGUAUUUCAAGUAGGACAUACAGACAGUAUAGGGUUUUACUAUUGACCGGGCCUCUGUAUUGAACAGACAUACAGACAGUAUAGGGUUUUACUAUUGACCGGACCUCUGUAUUGAACAGACAUACAGACAGUAUAGGGUUUUACUAUUGACCGGACCUCUGUAUUGAACAGACAUACAGACAGUAUAGGGUUUUACUAUUGACCGGGCCUCUGUAUUGAACAGAC
rnacentral:lncRNA from 1 species